rnacentral:rRNA from 1 species
GCACGACAAGGUUAAUCCGAGUGAUUUCUGCUAAAGGAAUCUUUUGCUAGUUCUAAAAAUACUAGUGAAUAAGGGGUGGGCAAGUUCUGGUGUCAGCCGCCGCGGUAAAACCAGCACCUCAAGUGGUCAGGAGGAUUAUUGGGCCUAAAGCAUCCGUAGCCUGCUCUUCAAGUUUUCGGUUAAAUCUAUACGCUUAACGUAUAGGCUGCCAAAAAUACUGUAGAGCUAGGGAGUGGGAGAGGUAGACGGUACUCGGUAGGAAGGGGUAAAAUCUUUUGAUCUAUUGAUGACCACCUGUGGCGAAGGCGGUCUACCAGAACAUGUUCGACGGUGAGGGAUGAAAGCUGGGGGAGCAAACCGGAUUAGAUACCCGGGUAGUCCCAGCUGUAAACGAUGCAGACUCGAUGAUGUAUUAGCAUAUAGCUAGUACAGUGUCGCAGGGAAGCCGUUAAGUCUGCCGCCUGGGAAGUACGUACGCAAGUAUGAAACUUAAAGGAAUUGGCGGGGGAGCACCACAAGGGGUGAAGCCUGCGGUUCAAUUGGAGUCAACGCCAGAAAUCUUACCCGAAGAGACAGCAGAAUGAAGGUCAG